AUGCACGCUGACAGACUGCUUAACACAUGCAAGUCAACUUGAACUUCGGUUUGGGUGGCGGACGGGUGAGUAACGCGUAAAGAACUUGCCUCACAGCUAGGGACAACAUUUGGAAACGAAUGCUAAUACCUGAUAUUAUGAUUAUAUGGCAUCGUAUAAUUAUGAAAGCUAUAUGCGCUGUGAGAGAGCUUUGCGUCCCAUUAGCUAGUUGGAGAGGUAACAGCUCACCAAGGCGAUGAUGGGUAGCCGGCCUGAGAGGGUGAUCGGCCACAAGGGGACUGAGACACGGCCCUUACUCCUACGGGAGGCAGCAGUGGGGAAUAUUGGACAAUGGACCGAGAGUCUGAUCCAGCAAUUCUGUGUGCACGAUGAAGUUUUUCGGAAUGUAAAGUGCUUUCAGUUGGGAAGAAAAAAAUGACGGUACCAACAGAAGAAGUGACGGCUAAAUACGUG
rnacentral:rRNA from 1 species